rnacentral:rRNA from 1 species
AAUAGAUACCCCGGUAGUCCACGCCGUAAACGAUGAGUGCUAAGUGUUAGGGGGUUUCCGCCCCUUAGUGCUGCAGCUAACGCAUUAAGCACUCCGCCUGGGGAGUACGGUCGCAAGACUGAAACUCAAAGGAAUUGACGGGGGCCCGCACAAGCGGUGGAGCAUGUGGUUUAAUUCGAAGCAACGCGAAGAACCUUACCAGGUCUUGACAUCCCAUUGACCGCUAUGGAGACAUAGCUUUCCCUUCGGGGACAGUGGUGACAGGUGGUGCAUGGUUGUCGUCAGCUCGUGUCGUGAGAUGUUGGGUUAAGUCCCGCAACGAGCGCAACCCUUGUUCUUAGUUGCCAUCAUUUAGUUGGGCACUCUAAGGAGACUGCCGGUGACAAACCGGAGGAAGGUGGGGAUGACGUCAAAUCAUCAUGCCCCUUAUGACCUGGGCUACACACGUGCUACAAUGGACGGUACAAACGGUUGCCAACCCGCGAGGGGGAGCUAAUCCGAAUAAAACCGUUCUCAGUUCGGAUUGUAGGCUGCAACUCGCCUAC